GUGAGGAAUAUUGAACAAUGGGCGCAAGCCUGAUCCAGCCAUGCCGCGUGCAGGAAGACGCAUCUAUGGUGUGUAAACUGCUUUUGUACGGGAAGAAACACUCCCUCGUGAGGGAGCUUGACGGUACCGUAAGAAUAAGGAUCGGCUAACUCCGUGCCAGCAGCCGCGGUAAUACGGAGGAUCCAAGCGUUAUCCGGAAUCAUUGGGUUUAAAGGGUCCGUAGGCGGUUUAAUAAGUCAGUGGUGAAAGCCCAUCGCUCAACGAUGGAACGGCCAUUGAUACUGUUAGACUUGAAUUACAAGGAAGUAACUAGAAUAUGUAGUGUAGCGGUGAAAUGCUUAGAUAUUACAUGGAAUACCAAUUGCGAAGGCAGGUUACUACUUGUGGAUUGACGCUGAUGGACGAAAGCGUGGGGAGCGAACAGGAUUAGAAACCCGUGUAGUCC
rnacentral:rRNA from 1 species